AGGUUGUGGCUUUGCUGGGAUUUCCGCGUCGGAUGGUCGCAACUGCUCUUUCAGACGUCAUGUUCUCACUCCACACCACCUUGCCUAAAGCGAAGGUGAAAAAAGGAGAAGCCUGACUUUAUUUUGUAUUGUUGGUGGUUUGUUUAAAAAGAAGAUUUUUCUAAACCUGGACGUUUCUUAUAUGAAAAUUUUAACUUUUGCAUCAAGAGAAGGAGGCGGCAUACAAAGGGCGUGGAGGUGGAGGACGAGCGGGCCAUCACCAUCAUCCUCACAGCAGGUGGAGUGCGGGCUGCAAGGAGGAUCUUGCGAGGCACUCGUUCUGCUACUCUCUGCUCUCCGGCGUUCAAAAGGAGGCUCUCGUGCAGCCCCAGGCUCUUGUGUGUGACACAUGUUUGAUCGGCAUAAGCCAUCGGAAUCGACGAAGAGGACAAGGUGAUGUCCACCGCGGUCGUCGUUCAAGCGCCUAGGCCCUAGCAGCUGAGAAGUGUUUGGCAUGUACCAAGGUAUCAAGACCUCCUCCUCGUGCUUGCUUCUGAUGUUGUCCCUCCAAUCCUUUAAUUUACUUAGGACAGGAUGUACCCAACUCAGUCUCACAUGGGAGGUGUUAUUUGCCCUAUAGUCUGGUUAUGCAGGGAAGAGACUCUAGAAGGGGUAAUUUAGUUUUUGCUGAUUUUGCUUCCCGAUGUCUGCUAUUCCUUUAUUCAUUUGUUGGAGCUGGUUGCAUCCUACUGUCAGCUGGCAUACCAUUCCUAUUGGGUGUGCUGCUAUGCUCCCUGCUCAUAUGCAUUGUAGUUGUUGAAUUUAGGAUUGUUUUGUAUAUAAGCAUCCAUAGUUAUUCAUUUCUCUGGAUGUACUGCACUUAAUGGUUGUGCACCAUGGUAAUAAUUUGUUGGAACUUUAAGUAAUAGUUUGUUGAAGAUGGUUUGUGAGUUUCUAAGUACAAUAGAGUAAGAUGUAGAAUUUUCUACAAGAAAAUUCAUACCGAGACCGCUCUAGAUGUGUAUAACUCUUUUAAUUCCAUCCAUCCAAUAUGUAGUGCUGGUGCCUAUGAGUUGCAUGCAAUUAGAUCACAUUUUUGAUGGAGGAUUCUCUUUUCUUCUACAAUCAGCCGUAUGUUUUGAAAUGUGUUUUCUAAAUAGAUAUAUUAAGAAAAUUUAUGUAUUUCAUUAUGGAACAAUAAAGCAUCGGUAUAUCGUCUGGUUGCUCCGUUUUGGGCAUUUGAAUUGGCAAUACUUGCCUCAACUUAUAAUUCAGUAGCACUGAAAAUUUAGAAUCAUUUGACCUGAUAUAUCGUCUGGUUACUAUAACUUUCACUCUUAGUUUCCUUCAAUGUACCAACCUUAGUGGACGUGAAGAAUAAAGGGCUUAGUUAGUGACAGUAGCUGAUAUGGAUAAAAAACAACACGAAACCACCGGAGCCUUGCUAGAACAAAAAGGAGUUAAUGUAUCUUUCUUUCCAAAUUCCAUCUACUUUGAAGACAAGAAUGCACUAGAGAAUAGCUUUAAAUAUAUUGUCUUAUAAUAAAUACUCAGUGACGAACAACAUACCAGGCGUUGAUGCACCGAUUAGCAUCUGCUUGAGUAGCUAUGUAGAUUGUUUGCCCUCCAUUCUUUUUUUCUCCUGCGGCUCUCCAUUUGCCACUGCCUACUGCCACCGAGUCAUUCCUCUUUAUUCUACAGCAAGAUGGUGUUCUCUAGCGAGGCUGUUAGCUUUAAAUGUGUGACCUUCACUUGUAGAUAAGGCUUCUCUCUGGUCUCUCGGUGCCCAUUAUUUGGUUUCUCCUCUCUUGAUACCCACCGGGUUCCUUGCCGGUCAAUCCAGUGGACCAGUUCAAAGAGAAACUGAAGAAGGGUUGAUCUACAGGCUCAAGUCAUUCAUGAUUGUUGCUGCCCGGCCCAAAUACAGGACAGCAGACCACCUCUAUAAGAUUAGAAUUUGUCAGAGCACAAAGGUCAAUGAGGCUGUGCCGGUGCCUGAAAACUUCUUUCUGUACGCGUAUAACGCAAAGUCAUUUGAUGAUGUGCACUGCCCUCACGGGUAGAGAUACAAGUCUGCUUGCCAAUGCUUGGCUUGCAUAUGUAAUCUAUCUAACAGUGGUUCUAUGAAUUUGCUUUGAUCUUCAUACUGUAAAGCUUAUCAUGGGAUUUUGUGUGUGGAAGCGAUAACCAUAGGUUACAGAAA